rnacentral:lncRNA from 1 species
AAAGAUGUGGGGGAAGAGAUUCUCUAGAAGCAAGGAGCAGCACAAACAAAGCAAAGGGAAUGUGCAUCUGAGAAAAUAAGUGGUCUACAUCAAGCUUUCAAGACUAAUGAUUUAUCUGCAUUCAAAACAAGUUCAAUUAUUGAAGCAGAACAACCCAGUAUUCAAAUCUAAAAGUCUGACAGGUUUUGUACUGUGGUUUGAAACUUAACUAUGUGAAAUAACUUGAUGGCAAUUAAAAUGAUUUAUUCUGU